GGCUGAGCACGGUGGAACCAGUCUUCUCAGCUGCCUCUCGGAGGCUAGCGGUUCCCCUUGGCCUCUGUGGAACCCCGCUUCCAUGUCCCCAGUGGACACAGCAUCCCGGAACCUCCAGGCCCAUGGCCACUAGCUUGAGGUCGCCCGCUUUCACCUCAUGUUCUUCCGCCUCGACAGACACACGAGGAGGGAGUGUGCGGCACUUGUGAAGAUGCUUCUCUGUGCAAGAGGAGCUGGCAUGUCACAGGAGGUGUGGAGGACACCCAGGACUGGGCCUUGCUCCUGGACAGCAGCCAGGGACAGCCAUGAGGAAGGACAGUCCUUGGAUUCAAAGGGGAUCCCACAGGGCCGACUGUGGCACAAGCUGCCCAAGAUGGUCUGUGACACCAAUUUGUAAACAUAGAAGCUUUUACCCACAUAUGAUGGAGAUGAUGGGAGCAUGGAUAUUUUGCUCAAGUCCAUGGCAUCUCUCAGCUGAUAAAAGCAUUUCUACAGAAGAAAGAAUGUUAUUGUCAAAUUCUAAAUCUUGGGACUCAAUGGAGACCACCUUCUGGAGAUUAAAGGCACAUUUUCUGGUCCUGCACCUUAGAGUUUCUGAUUUUGCCAUCAUAGUGUCCGAAGCUCAUGACCAAGAAAGAAUUUUUCAGCUGUCUCUGGUGCUGCAAAAAGGUGAUUUUAUUAAAAACCAGGGACAGGACCUAUAGGCAAAAAGAGCUGCCAUGGGGUCGUGAGGAGUGGCCUAUUCUAUACUUUCAAGUUUGAGGGGGUUGGAGAUAGUGUAAGUCUCCAAGGAAUUCUGGAAGGAAGGUUUCCAGGACCAUGAGAGGCUAGCUAUUGUUGGCAAAGGGUCAUUGAUUAUGGUCUAAUAAAGCCUUAGUCAUGAGACCCUUCA
rnacentral:lncRNA from 1 species